CCUGGUGGCUCAGAUGGUAAAGCGUCUGCCUACAACGCGGGAGACCCGGGUUUGAUCCCCGGGUCAGGA
rnacentral:tRNA from 1 species